rnacentral:rRNA from 1 species
UUUAUCGGAGAGUUUGAUCCUGGCUCAGGACGAACGCUGGCGGCGUGCCUAAUACAUGCAAGUCGAGCGGACAGAUGGGAGCUUGCUCCCUGAUGUUAGCGGCGGACGGGUGAGUAACACGUGGGUAACCUGCCUGUAAGACUGGGAUAACUCCGGGAAACCGGGGCUAAUACCGGAUGUUUGUUUGAACCGCAUGGUUCAGACAUAAAAGGUGGCUUCGGCUACCACUUACAGAUGGACCCGCGGCGCAUUAGCUAGUUGGUGAGGUAACGGCUCACCAAGGCGACGAUGCGUAGCCGACCUGAGAGGGUGAUCGGCCACACUGGGACUGAGACACGGCCCAGACUCCUACGGGAGGCAGCAGUAGGGAAUCUUCCGCAAUGGACGAAAGUCUGACGGAGCAACGCCGCGUGAGUGAUGAAGGUUUUCGGAUCGUAAAGCUCUGUUGUUAGGGAAGAACAAGUGCCGUUCAAAUAGGGCGGCACCUUGACGGUACCUAACCAGAAAGCCACGGCUAACUACGUGCCAGCAGCCGCGGUAAUACGUAGGUGGCAAGCGUUGUCCGGAAUUAUUGGGCGUAAAGGGCUCGCAGGCGGUUUCUUAAGUCUGAUGUGAAAGCCCCCGGCUCAACCGGGGAGGGUCAUUGGAAACUGGGGAACUUGAGUGCAGAAGAGGAGAGUGGAAUUCCACGUGUAGCGGUGAAAUGCGUAGAG